GGUCGCAUAGCUCAGUUGGUAGAGCACUACGUUCACAUCGUAGGGGUCACAGGUUCAAGUCCUGUUGCGACCACCA
rnacentral:tRNA from 1 species